ACUCCUACGGGAGGCAGCAGUGGGGAAUCUUGGACAAUGGGCGCAAGCCUGAUCCAGCCAUGCCGCGUGAGUGACGAAGGCCUUAGGGUCGUAAAGCUCUUUCAGCUGUGAAGAUAAUGACGGUAGCAGCAGAAGAAACCCCGGCUAACUCCGUGCCAGCAGCCGCGGUAAUACGGAGGGGUUAGCGUUGUUCGGAAUUACUGGGCGUAAAGCGCGCGUAGGCGGAUUAGUCAGUCAGAGGUGAAAUCCCAGGGCUCAACCCUGGAACUGCCUUUGAUACUGCUAGUCUUGAGUUCGAGAGAGGUGAGUGGAAUUCCGAGUGUAGAGGUGAAAUUCGUAGAUAUUCGGAGGAACACCAGUGGCGAAGGCGGCUCACUGGCUCGAUACUGACGCUGAGGUGCGAAAGCGUGGGAGCAAACAGGAUUAGAUACCCUGGUAGACUGUCA
rnacentral:rRNA from 1 species